CAUCGGUUCUUCGCCGCUGCCCCACUCGAUGCACGCCAUCUCCGCCGCCCCCACCCCCACCCCCACGGUCGUCGCCUGCCGGUCAGCGCCCCUACUCACGCACUACCCAGGCGUGAGGGCCAUAGCAAGGGCCUGUUCGAUACACACACAUCAAAGUCCACCAUGGACUUGUCCAGGUGAGGAGUUAGUUUGUGGUUGUGGAUACCUGACCUUGUCUUCAGUUAAAUUGGAGGUUUCUGGUUCAGUUUUGCUGAAUAGUGUGUGAUUUGAUUGUAUGUCGUGUAUGGUAAAUGCGGCUUCGGUGGCGCCGGUGGAGGAAGAGUUGUAGGUGAGCACCUGGACUUGAUGCAGGGUCGUCGAAGAGAAGGACGACGGCCCGGCCUUCAUACACAUGAUGGAACACACAUUGCCGACAAUGCGGUACCAAGCCUAGAGAAGGGAUCCUGAGAAUGCCCGCCGCAGUAUUGCAGCAGCACUAUCUCAAAGACGUGUCGCCGGGUGUUGUUAGGGAUUUCUUCUGGCAUGAUGACUUUCGGAUCAAGAACACUUGGGUCAAUAUGCUUCUGUAGCAUGAGACAUUGAACGGGUGCACAAAGACUGGAACAAUGGUUGUUUGCUGGGUCAGGAAGUUUCCAUUCUUCUGCAACGACAUGGAGUAUGUUAUCGGUCGCAGGGUAUGGGCAUCUCGAAAGACGUACUACUACGCUAAUAAGGACUUCAGAGCCUGCUAAGCAUGACGGGAGGACUGCAAUUGAUAGAAACAAGAGAGAACAGGGUUGGUUAGCUUGAACCAGAGCUUGCUUGAAGCAUAUGCACAUCCGGACAUGAUUUGGAUUGAGUAAGCACGUAAAGUUGUGAUGCUAACACAUACCAAGUGGAGAGCAAUAUCACAGGGUUACCGUGCUAGGAAUAUGCUAUGCAUACAUCAUUCAUGUAAUGAUCUUCUAUUUAUGUUUCUUAAGCCAUUAAUCUUAGGCUAAAGUGUAGUUUAUUAGAGCAGUAUUUGAAUGAAACAAAUACUGACACGGAAUGUGGAAGGUUUGAAGAUUUUCUUAUAUAAUUCUUUGAGAACAGAUAAGUAAA